rnacentral:rRNA from 1 species
AGUGAACGCUGGCGGCGUGCUUAACACAUGCAAGUCGAACGAGAACGGAUUAUAGCUUGCUAUAAUUGUCAGCUAAGUGGCGCACGGGUGAGUAAUGUAUAGGUAAUAUGCCUUUUACUAAGGAAUAACAAAUGGAAACGUUUGCUAAUACCUUAUACUCCUUAUUAACCUAAGUUAAUAAGGGAAAGAUUUAUUGGUAAGAGAUUAGCCUGUAUUGUAUCAGUUAGUUGGUGGGGUAAUGGCUUACCAAGACUAUGACACAUAACUGGUUUGAGAGGAUGAUCAGUCACACUGGAACUGAGACCCGGUCCAGACUCCUACGGGAGGCAGCAGUGGGGAAUAUUGCACAAUGGACGGAAGUCUGAUGCAGCAACGCCGCGUGGAGGAUGACACAUUUCGGUGCGUAAACUCCUUUUAUAUGAGAAGAUAAUGACGGUAUUGUAUGAAUAAGCACCGGCUAACUCCGUGCCAUCAGCCGCCGUAA